CUACGGGGGGCUCCAGUAAGGAAUAUUGCGCAAUGGAGGCAACUCUGACGCAGCCAUGCCGCGUGCAGGAAGAAGGCCUUAUGGGUCGUAAACUGCUUUUAUUUAGGAAUAAACCCCCGAACGUGUUCGGGGCUGAAGGUACUAAACGAAUAAGCACCGGCUAACUCCGUGCCAGCAGCCGCGGUAAUACGGAGGGUGCAAGCGUUAUCCGGAUUUAUUGGGUUUAAAGGGUGCGCAGGCGGGCUAUUAAGUCAGUGGUGAAAUCCCGGGGCUCAACUCCGGAACUGCCAUUGAUACUGAUAGUCUUGAGUUUGGUUGAAGUGGGCGGAAUGUAGCAUGUAGCGGUGAAAUGCAUAGAUAUGCUACAGAACACCAAUCGCGAAGGCAGCUCACUAAGCCAAAACUGACGCUCAUGCACGAAAGCGUGGGGAUCAAACAGGAUUAGAUACCCCCGUAGUC
rnacentral:rRNA from 1 species